UCGCUCAGGUCUCUCCUCAAAUCCACGUAUUAAUCUUUCGCCUUUUACUAAAGAUUACCGUGGGGAGGGACAUCCCAAUGAGCCUAUAGGCCAAUUUUUGGGAGGCCUCGCCCGUUUGGGUGAGGC
rnacentral:snRNA from 1 species